CGCUGGCGGCGUGCUUAACACAUGCAAGUCGAACGGUGAAGCUCCAGCUUGCUGGGGUGGAUGAGUGGCGAACGGGUGAGUAACACGUGAGUAACCUGCCCCCUUCUUCUGGAUAACUGCUUGAAAGGGUAGCUAAUACGGGAUAUUCUGGCCUGCUCGCAUGGGUGGGUUUGGAAAGGUUUUUUCUGGUGGGGGAUGGGCUCGCGGCCUAUCAGCUUGUUGGUGGGGUGAUGGCCUACCAAGGCGGUGACGGGUAGCCGGCCUGAGAGGGUGGACGGCCACACUGGGACUGAGACACGGCCCAGACUCCUACGGGAGGCAGCAGUGGGGAAUAUUGCACAAUGGGCGCAAGCCUGAUGCAGCGACGCCGCGUGAGGGAUGGAGGCCUUCGGGUUGUAAACCUCUUUCGCCAGUGAAGCAGGCCAUCUUCUUUGUGGGGUGGUUGACGGUAGCUGGAUAAGAAGCGCCGGCUAACUACGUGCCAGCAGCCGCGGUAAUACGUAGGGCGCGAGCGUUGUCCGGAAUUAUUGGGCGUAAAGAGCUCGUAGGCGGCUGGUCGCGUCUGUCGUGAAAUCCCCUGGCUUAACUGGGGGCUUGCGGUGGGUACGGGCCGGCUUGAGUGCGGUAGGGGAGACUGGAAUUCCUGGUGUAGCGGUGGAAUGCGCAGAUAUCAGGAGGAACACCGGUGGCGAAGGCGGGUCUCUGGGCCGUUACU
rnacentral:rRNA from 1 species